UCCCUCCACCAAUCCGUUAUCAUCCUCUCUCCCUUACAUCUUCACGUUUUAUUUCUUUCCUUCUGCAGAACACAUUUUCUUCAUCUUUUCUCUUAUUCAUCUCCUUAUUUCUCCUUGCCGCAACCUCCUACUUCACUUGCGUUUCUUCUUUUCUCCUGCUCACACCCACAUCAUUUUGUUCUUCACCAAAAUCACCAGGCCAUAUAUCAUUUUCACGUUCAACCAAGCAGCACCGUACUCCCUGUUUCCUCUUCACGAUUCAGCAUCCAAUUCCCUUCAUCAUCAUCCCAUAACAAGCACCCAUUCUUUCACCUCAUACACCAUCACCUUUUCUUCUUCCUCUAUCUUUUUCUCUCUUUUCUUUCCCCUGGGCAGCAUAAAAAAAAAACGCACAUCAUGGUCCCUCUUCCCUCCCUCACGUGAUUUCUCUCUUGUGCAGCACCAUGUCUUCAUCUUCCUAUUUUAUGGGUACGAAGGACAAAAGCGCCUCGCGGCGAAGCUAAAGAAUAAAAGGAAGCGAGCCGACACGGGAAAGAAAGGAUGUGAUUGGAUUGGAGUUGCAGUUUAGGAAGGAAAUUGGCUAAGGCGAUGGAGAAUCUUCGAUGGAGCUUGAUCUUCGUACGAGUCGGAGAGAAGGACUUGAAGAACUGUGGAUGACUCGAAGAAUAGAGUCGGGUGUAGGGCUAGAGCAUUGGGUUAGAGAGCUUACCCUUAUUGGUUUAAGCUUGCAUAAAGAUUUUAGGAAUUUAUUUUUGAGAUUUCGAGUAGGUUCCGUUGCAUUGCUUUCCUGCGGUUCCCCGAUGUGGAGAUCGUAGGGAGUAUGUCGGAUUCAUGGUGUCAUUGCAUAAUAGGUUUUUUUGUUGAGUUGUUUCUAUUGGUUAGGUUUGUAGUUGGGAGUAUGCAUGACAUGUUUUGGAAAUACAUUUGAAAAGAAAAAAAAUAUACUCGUGUUUAUACAUUCUUUUGGAAAAUAUUGCAUAUUUACUUUAAUAGGUUAUUAAAGUGACACCCGAAAUUCGGGGCGUUACAUCAAGUUCUUCAAGGGUGGAGGAGACUGAUGCAGCGCAGCUGGCUGCACGCAUCGACGGUGACGUUGCUCGUCUGACGAGCCCGCUCAAACUUCCGGUGUCCGAUUGACUAUUAUUAUAUGUUUCCGAUAAGGAAACGAACAACAAUUUAGGAGUUUUCACUUAUGGUCAAAAAGUCUGAUUUUUUGCCCAUCUGAAUCUGUCUUGGACUCGCAAAACAACAUAUAAAGUAUUUUUUUAGGAUUCUAUUUAUUUUCGGCAAACUUAAAAAUGUUGUUUGUGUUUUAAACAACAGCCAUGCCCCCCACUUUUUGGCCAAUAGCAAGAUGCAUAGUGUACUAUACUGCCAUGUCAUCCAUUUGACUAGUAAUUUUAAUAUUUCAAAUUUGGGUCCCUAAACCUCUUAAGUUUUGCAUUUUAUCCUUCAACUAUAUACAUUUUUAAUUAUUUUUGAACUUAGAAAAAUCAAAUUAAACCUAAAAUAAAAUUUGUGAAACUCAUUCAUUAACCUAAAACAUUUCUGCUUCAUCCCUGUUCUCUCUUCAGUCGCAGCUUCCUCGCCGGUGGUGGUUGCAGUCGCGGCGGUUUACCUCCUGUCACAUGGGUUGUGGCUUCACUACCGCGAUUUUCUUCCACCACCGUGUUCCAGCUUCUGGGCCUCCUCAACCGAAGUAUCUCCUCGGCCUCAAACGAAUAAUCUGCUGCAAGGCCCCCUCCCCCGCCGCCGCAAGCCUUGUUUAUUCCGACCAGAAGCACUUCAAAUCCAAGUGCUCCUCUUUUUAUUCCGCUACAUUCCACCUAUCACAACACCUUAGUAAUAGUACCUGAACAUCUCUUCGUGGUUUUCAAAGUUUACUUCAUCAUUUUUCCUUCUUUUAGAUAAAAGACAAAGCAUAUUGCUUUAUGAUGUGUUUGUUUAGAUUUACAAUGUUUCUAAUUUUUUUUUAGACAUUGUUUCUUCUAGAGAUGGUGAGGAAGAACACGCAGGCCUUGUGAAUGAUAAAAGUUCACUUAUUGUUUCUGACCCAGAAAAUUCUCUAGAGAAUUGGAAAUCCAAGGGUGUUCAUGUUUGUGAUUGGUCUGGUAUCAAAUGCAACAAUGCCAGUGACAGGAUCAUAGAGAUUGAUCUCAGUGGAAGGUCACUAGGAGGCACCAUUUCCCCUGCUCUUGCUAACCUCUCUUCCUUGCAAAUUCUUGAUCUUUCUGGGAUUUUUUUGGUGGGUCACAUUCCAAAAGAGCUAGGAAAUUUAGUUCACCUUGAACAACUCAGUUUAUCAGGGAAUUUUCUUGAAGGAAGCAUUCCCUCUGAGUUUGGUUCACUUCACAACUUGUACUACCUUGACAUGGGAAGCAACCAUCUUGAGGGAGAGAUCCCCCCAUCACUUUUCCACAAUGUGACUUCAUUGAGUUACAUAGACCUUUCUAAUAACUCUUUUCCAUAUAUUUUUAAUUUAACUUCUUCUGCUGCCUCUUAAGGUUCCAAAGUAUUGUUAUUUUAGGUUCCAAAGUAAUUUCUUUUGCCAUGUGAUUUUGUCUGCAAGUGGUGAUAAUUAAUUAUUUUCUGCUGAUUGCUUGUGUUUGAUCUGAGAUAGUUUUUGAACUCCUCUACAAAGCUUUCUCUAGAUCCUACUUGAAUUGCACAACUAUCAUGGUUUUGUUAGUUACCUUGGAGAAGCUGCCUUCCAGAAGGGGUGAAUGUUGUUUGUGCUUUUUGCAGGUCUGCUGAGGAAACAACUGAACACUUAUUAUUCGUGUGCCCUCAACUGUUAAUGGUAUUCCAUGUUGCAGCAAUUGUCUUUUCUUUUAUUGAUGGUUCUGAACUCUUUAUUUGUAUUCCAUGUUGCAGCAAUUGUCCUUUCUGAACUCAUAGUGUCAGUAUGAUCACCAUAUCUGAUACGGUUGGGGAUGGGAUCAACACAAAAGCAUUUCCGAAUGUCAUCUUCUACCUCAACUCAUGCAAAAGAUAUUCACUUUUACGAGUCAUACAAUGCCAUCAGAUUAAAGACUUUAGACUUCUCCUGGAAGGGUGGUUAUGUUGGUUAUGUUAUAAACAUCUUUAUUGAAGUUUUCCAUCUUGAUUGAAGUUUCAAGAUAGAAAGUGCAAAGCUAAUGCGUGAAGAUUAUUAUGUAGAAUAGGAAAGUUUCUAUUGAAUAUGAAUUAUGUACUCUUAUUGAAUACACACUAUUGAACUUCAGUAGUUGCACAAUGAUGUAGCAAAAGUUUUGAUUGCAAUAAAAUGAGGCUUGAAAUCUAA